rnacentral:rRNA from 1 species
GACGAGCCGUGCGAACGUUAUUCGGAAUCACUGGGCUUAAAGCGCGUGUAGGCGGUGCGGUGCGUCGGUCGCUGAAAUCCCCCGGCUCAACCGGGGAAGGGGCGCCGAUACGACCGGCCUGGAGCGACGUAGGGGGAACUGGAACUUCCGGUGGAGCGGUGAAAUGCGUUGAGAUCGGAAGGAACGCCCGUGGCGAAAGCGGCUCACUGGACCAUUACUGACGCUGAGGCACGAAAGCUAGGGGAGCAAACAGG